rnacentral:lncRNA from 1 species
UUCAGCUCACACAAGAAUCUGUAAACAUACGUAUCGAUCCAUACUUAAUCUGACUCUUACUGGCAGUGAAAUCUUGGAAAGGCAUGCAUGUGUUACUAGAAAUCUCCUGGGAAGCCCUUCAGUUCUUCUGAUUCAAUCCCUAAUCAGGAAGUAUGGAAGGAACAGAAAUGAAUAAUUUUUUUAAACCCAAUAACAGCUCUGCAACACCAACCCUGAUGCUGCUGAAGAGAAAUGAACUGACCAUGGCUCUGGAGGGAGGAAGCAGGCUUGGCUUACCUGGACACACAGACCGCAGACGCAAAACCGCGCUUGAAGAGAGAGGGACAGAAAGGGCUGUCCAAGCGCACCAAGGAUGGCACUAUGGGAAAGGAGGAAGGGACAAGAAAGAAGAAGAGCACAGACAGACAACCUCCUCUAGAUGUGGCUGGGAUGGCUGGGGACACAGUCGUCUUAUCACUGCUGCCAGCCAGAAAUUGCAUCUAGGGUUGAGCUAGUAGAAUUGAAUUGUGAAUUGUCCCUUUUCGCUUUUAGUGCCAAAUGAAGGGAUUUAAGCUAUAGAAGCAGACUUUGCACUAAAACAGAUUGAGGUGUCAAGGUAUUUCGGUACACCUUGCACUGAAACAGUUGAAGGCUUUCAUGUAUUUUGGUUCACCAUGUGCUGUAACAACAAGCAGCUGAAAAGCAACUACGUCCACCAUCUCCAGCCACUUGAAAAGUGUGUAUCCACAACGAACAUCCAUCUGUUGGUGCUGAUCUAUAGCCAUUGUACAGCUCUAGCUGUUGAUUGCAGAUGCAAGGCUUACGUGCUCCUUAGCACAGGAGGAAAGGCGUCAGGGUAAGCUCACAUGUAGCUGCGGCCGCACUGUUGUGCACACAUAUGUUUAUAUGAGGGCUGUGUCCUGUCUGCUUCUCCCCUGACGUAACGAGUGCUGACUCUUCCCUGCCCUCAGCAUCGCUUACAUCAGCCUCCCUAACCUCCUCCCAUCAGGAAGGAGCCACAUGAGCUCAAAGUGUGCAAGGAUUAGACUUAUAAAUAUAGAUUUUCCUUGAGAAAGCCUCAAUUUGAAAGUUAGGGGUUGUGGUGCCACUCUAGGGCAAGGUCAGCAGGGAAGGGUAACCACUUUGGCAGGCCCAGCUGGAGCUGGGAAAGUUGCACGGAGAGACAUUGUAGGCUGGUGGCAUCAGCUUGUUCUGCACAUCACAGCGCUGGAUAGAAAUAUGCAGCCUAGCUUUAACAUGAGUCACUUGGCUUCCAGAAACAGGCUCAAUUACCAGUGAUUUCUAUCUUCUUGAAAUAAUGUCUGUGAGUUAAUUCAACUCCGUCAUUUCAGAGUGGAUAAAAUCACAUCACUAAGCUUACAAAUAAACGUGUAGUGAAGGUAUGGAUAUGAAGUUAG